rnacentral:rRNA from 1 species
ACUGCUCAGUAACACGUGGACAACCUACCCUUGGGUCUGGCAUAAUCCUGGGAAACUGGGUAUAAUUCCGGAUAGGUCACAGAUGCUGGAAUGCACUGUGGCCGAAAGCUCCGGCGCCCAAGGAUGGGUCUGCGGCCUAUCAGGGUUGUAGUGGGUGUAACGGACCUACUAGCCUACGACGGGUACGGGUUGUGAGAGCAAGAGCCCGGAGAUGGAUUCUGAGACACGAAUCUAGGCCCUACGGGGUGCAGCAGGCGCGAAAACUUUACAAUGCGGGAAACCGUGAUAAGGGAAUCUCGAGUGCCAGCAUAUAAUGUUGGCUGUCCAGAUGCCUAAAAAGCAUCUGUUAGCAAGGGCCGGGCAAGACCGGUGCCAGCCGCCGCGGUAACACCGGCGGCCCGAGUGGUAACCGCUUUUAUUGGGUCUAAAGGGUCUGUAGCCGGCCAAGUAAGUCCCUUGGGAAAUCUGGCAGCUUAACUGUCAGGCUGCUAGGGGAUACUGCUAGGCUUGGGACCGGGAGAGGUGAGAGGUACCUUGGGGGUAGGGGUGAAAUCUUGUGAUCCUCGGGGGACCACCAGUGGCGAAGGCGUCUCACCAGAACGGGUCCGACGGUAAGGGACGAAAGCUAGGGGCACGAACCGGAUUAGAUACCCGGGUAGUCCUAGCCGUAAACGAUGCUCGCUAGGUGUCAGUCACGGUGCGACCGUGAUUGGUGCCGUAGGGAAGCCGUGAAGCGAGCCACCUGGGAAGUAUGGCCGCAAGGCUGAAACUUAAAGGAAUUGGCGGGGGAGCAC